GCCAGAGUAGCUCAGCUGGUAGAGCAGCUGAUUUGUAAUCAGCUGGUCGGGGGUUCGAGUCCCUUCUCUGGCU
rnacentral:tRNA from 1 species